AGCUCCAAUAGCGUAUAUUAAAGUUGUUGCAGUUAAAAAGCUCGUAGUUGGAUUUGUGGUUGGAGCGGCCGGUCCUUCGCUUCGCGUCGGUACUUGGCAGUCUCCGUCCAUCCUUGGGUGGAUGCUGUGUGGCAUUUAGUUGUCGUGCAGUGGAUACCCAUCGUUUACUGUGAAAAAAUUAGAGUGUUCAAAGCAGGCUUAUGCCGAUGAAUAUAUUAGCAUGGAAUAAUGAGAUAGGACCUCAGUACUAUUUUGUUGGUUUGCGCACCGAGGUAAUGAUUAAUAGGGACAGUUGGGGGUAUUCGUAUUCCAUUGUCAGAGGUGAAAUUCUUGGAUUUUUGGAAGACGAACUACUGCGAAAGCAUUUACCAAGGAUGUUUUCA
rnacentral:rRNA from 1 species